CUCCCUCUCGUCUCCCCACGGUCUCCCUCUCCCUCUCUCUCCCUCUCCCAUCUCCCCACGGUCUCCCUCUCCCUCUCUCUCCACGGUCUCCCUCUGAUCCCGAGCCGAAGCUGGACUGUACUGCCGCCGUCUCGGCUCACUGCAACCUCCCUGCCUGAUUCUCCUGCCUCAGCCUGCCGAGUGCCUGGGAUUGCAGGCGCCGCGCCGCCACGCCUGACUGGUUUUUGUAUUUUUUUGGUGGAGAUGGGGUUUCGCUGUGUUGGCUGGGCUGGUCUCCAGCUCCUAACCGCGAGUGAUCUGCCAGCCUCGGCCUCCCGAGGUGCCGGGAUUGCAGAUGGAGUCUCGUUCACUCAGUGCUCAAUGGUGCCCAGGCUGGAGUGCAGUGGCAUGAUCUCGGCUCGCUACAACCUCCACCUCCCAGCCGCCUGCCUUGGCCUCCCAAAGUGCCGAGAUUGCAGCCUCUGACCGGCUGCCACCCCGUCUGGGAAGUGAGGAGCGUCUCUGCCUGGCCGCCCAUGUCUGGGAUGUGAGGAGCCCCUCUGCCCGGCCGCCCAGUCUGGGAAGUGAGGAGCGUCUCUGCCCGGCCGCCAUCCUGUCUAGGAAGUGAGGAACGUCUCUGCCCGGCAGCCCCUCGUCUGAGACGUGGGGAGCACCUCUGCCCCGCUGCCCCGUCUGGGAUGUGAGGAGUGCCUCUGCCCGGCCGCGACCCCUUCUGGGAGGUGAGGAGUGUCUCUGCCCGGCCGCCCCCUCUGAGAAGUGCCCCUCCGCCCGGCAGCCGCCCCAUCCGGGAAGUGAGGAGCAUCUCCAGCCGGCAGCCGCCCAGUCCGGGAGGGAGGUGGGGGGCAGCCCCCGCCCGGCCGCCACCCAGUCCGGGAGGUGGGGGGCGCCUCUGCCCGGCCGCCCCUUCUGGGACGUGAGGAGCCCCUCUGCCUGGCCGCCACCCCGUCUGGGAGGUGUACCCAACAGCUCAUUGAGAAUGGGCCGUGAUGACGAUGGCGGUUUUGUCGAAUAGAAAAGGGGGAAAUGUGGGGAAAAGAUAGAGAAAUCAGAUUGUUGCUGUGUCUGUGUAGAAAGAAGUAGACAUAGGAGACUCCAUUUUGUUCUGUACUAAGAAAAAUUCUUCUGCCUUGGUAUGCUGUUGAUCUGUAACCUUACCCCCAACCCCGUACUCUCUGAAACAUGUGCUGUGUCUACUCAGGGUUAAAUGGAUUAAGGGCGGUGCAAGAUGUGCCUUGUUAAACAGAUGCUUGAAGGCAGCAUGCUCCUUAAGAGUCAUCACCACUCCCUAAUCUCAAGUACCCAGGGACACAAACACGGCGGAAGGCCGCAGGGUCCUCUGUCUAGGAAAACCGGAGACCCUUGUUCACUUGUUUAUCUGCUGACCUUCCCUCCACUAUUGUCCUAUGACCCUGCCAAAUCCCCCUCCGCGAGAAACACCCAAGAAUGAUCAAUAAAUACUAAAAAAAUAAAAUAAAAUAAUAAAAUAAAAUAAAAUAAAAAAAGAAUUUGAGACGAACCUGGCCAAUGUGGUGAAACCCCAUCUCUACUAAAAAUACAAAAAAUUAGCUGGGCAUGGUGGCGGGCACCUGUAAUCCCAGCUACUCAGGAGGCUGAGGCAGGAGAAUCGCUUGAACCCAGGAGGCGGAGGUUGC
rnacentral:lncRNA from 1 species